AGUCUGGUGCCAGCAGCCGCGGUAAUUCCAGCUCCAAUAGCGUAUACUAAAGCUGCUGCGGUUAAAAAGCUCGUAGUUGGAUCUCAGUUCCAGACGAGUAGUGCAUCUACCCGAUGCGACGGCUCGGACUGAACAUCAUGCCGGUUCUUUCUUGGUGCACUUCAUUGUGUGCCUCGAGAUGGCCGCGUGUUUUACUUUGAAACAAAUUAGGUGUCAACGCCGGCGAGAUCGCCUUGAAUACUUUGCCAUGGACUAAUAGAACAAGACCUCGUUUCUGUUCUGUUGGUUUUUGGAAUACGAGGUAAUGAUUAAGAGGGACGGACGGGGGCAUUCGUAUUGCGGCGCUAGAGGUGAAAUUCUUGGACCGUCGCAAGACGAACUACUGCGAAAGCAUUUGCCAAGAAUGUUUUCAUUGAUCAAGAACGAAAGUCAGAGGUUCGAAGGCGAUCAGAUACCGCCCUAGUUCUGACCAUAAACGAUGCCAACCAGCGAUCCGCCUGAGUUACUCAAAUGACUCGGCGGGCAGCUUCCGGGAAACCAAAGUAUUUGGGUUGGGUUCCGGGGGAAGUAUGGUUGCAAAGCUGAAACUUAAAGGAAUUGACGGAAGGGCACCACCAGGAGUGGAGCCUGCGGCUUAAUUUGACUCAACACGGGAAAACUUACCCGGCCCGGAGCCGACUGGGAUUGACAGAUUGAGAGCUCUUUCUUGAUUCGGUGGAUGGUGGUGCAUGGCCGUUCUUAGUUGGUGGAGCGAUUUGUCUGGUUAAUUCCGAUAACGAACGAGACUCUAGCCUAUUAAAUAGGUGCGGGGUUCCCAGCACCUUACAACCUUCUUAGAGGGACAAGCGGCUCCUAGCCGCGAAACAGAGCAAUAACAGGUCUGUGAUGCCCUUAGAUGUCCGGGGCCGCACGCGCGCUACACUGAAGGAAGCAGCGUGUCUUUAUCCCUGUCUGAAAAGACUGGGUAACCCGUGGAACUUCUUUCGUGAUUGGGAUAGGGGCUUGCAAUUGUUCCCCUUGAACGAGGAAUUCCCAGUAAGCGCGAGUCAUAAGCUCGCGUUGCUUACGUCCCUGCCCUUUGUACACACCGCCCGUCGCUACUACCGCUUGAAUGAUUUAGUGAGGUCUUCGCGACGUGUUCGGGCGCGGCCUUUCGGUUUCGCGGUCCUUGUUUGGGGGGGGGGGAGGGGGGGAUGACAACCUUGAUCAUUUGGGAACUAACAGUCGUAACAGUUUCCGUGAGGGUGAACCUGCGGAAG
rnacentral:rRNA from 1 species